GAGAGUGGAGGUAGAGAGUGAGGUAGUGAGUGGAGGCAGUGAGUGGAGGCAGUGAGUGGAGGUAGAGAGUGAGGCAGGGAGUGGAGGCAGAGAGUGAGGUAGGGAGUGGAGGCAGAGAGUGAUGUAGGGAGUGAGGUAGGGAGUGGAAGCAGAGAGUGAGGUAGUGAGUGGAGGCAGAGAGUGAGGUAGUGAGUGGAGGCAGAGAGUGAUGUAGGGAGUAGAGGCAGAGAGUGAGGCAGUGAGUGGAGGCAGAGAGUGAUGUAGGGAGUGAGGUAGGGAGUGGAAGCAGAGAGUGAGGUAGGGAGUGGAAGCAGAGAGUGAGGUAGGGAGUGGAGGCAGAGAUUUAGAGAGAGGAGGAAUAGAGCAGAGGUAGUAAGUUGAGACAGAAAGUGGAGGUAGAGAGUGAAGAAGAGAGGGAAGUAGUGAGUGCAGGAAGAGAGUGAGGUAGUAAGUGGAGGCAGAGAGUGAAGUAGAGCGAGAGGGGGGUAGAGAGUGGAGGCAGAGAGUGAGGUAUGACCCCGUGCCCUCUGUCCUCCAGAGGCUGCUGCCCCCAUGCCUACUAAUGGGCUCAAUCCAGCUGGGGCCCUGGCAGGUCAUCUCACUCACACCGACACACUCACAACCUCGCGCACACACACACAAACACACAGGUCUGCCCCAUAGACUGCUAAUGCGUUAAGGACCAACCUUCCCGACCACACACACACACACGCACGCACGCACGCACGCACGCACGCACGCACGCACGCACGCACGCACGCACGCGCGCGUCUCCCUUAUCACUCUACCUCAGCCCUGUAUUUAUUCCCUGGCAUCCUCUGCAACAAAGCUGCCAGUUUAGACCCUUUAUAUUUAGACAGAUAGAAAAGUGCCUCAGAAUAAGUGGUCCACACGAGAGAAACAUCUGUUUUGUUUGAAAUUACCAAUACACGGUUCGACCCCCCCCCACUCCCAAUGCCGCUCUGCUAAUCUUGUAUCCUUUUGGUGGGGGAGUUGUUGCUUUUUUCUGGAAAAAUAACACAUUUCCAUAAAGUAUUUUCUUUUCCAACCGAGUCAUACUUUUUGAAAAUAUCCCUCCAGGCUCUUCUUGCCAAACCCCAGCUUUCUUCAAUGAGCCUCAACAUUUAACAUUCAAAGUAUAAACACACACACACACACACACACACACACACACACACACACACACACACACACACACACACACACACACACACACACACACACACACACACACACACACACACACACACACACACACACACACACGCG